AGUGUAUAUAGUAAGACAAGAUGUCAGUGGAUGGGUGUAAUUGUGGGACAGAGUGUAUAUCGUAGGCAGAGGGUGUUAAUAGAAGAAACCAUAACUGUGGUGUAUAUCAGAUCUGUCCAACACCUACAAAUCCCAGUAUCAUCCCCAUUAUGUCAUUAUGGGAUAAAUAGCUUUGUUAAAAAAGUGUGUGUUGGUCUCUUAGUGUAAUAUAUAGUAACUAUUAGCAACUCAGUAUUAUACACAAUGCACAGGCUCCUGUAAUCUCAAUGUGAACGAUUAAAUAUAAUGUACUUUCUGAAUAACAUUACACAAGAAGGUAAAAAUAACACCUAUGAUAUCAAUACAAUUAUAAAUUUAUUUUAUUCACACACACCAUCCCUAGCUUGUAUUCUUAUAUCCUUUUGCCAUUCUAUAUAACUGUAAUGUGUCAGUUACCAGCCAUACUGCAGCCCUGACAUCACAAUGCAGGCUAUGACUUCACAAUGCACAGUCAUGUGACCUCAUCCUGUAUCCUGACCAGUAGCAACAACACAAUCAUCAGUUGGAGCAGGAGAGAGAACUAGACAGUCAUGACUGGUUUGAUCUUCAACACAACACUUUUUUAUCUAAUUUUAAUCUAUUUUAUCAUUUUCACCGUGGGCUUCCCAGUUGGGAGACUGGAUGGUAAUAUAUCCUGAUUUUAUACUUAUUCCUAUAACUGCUAUUUAUAUACUGUAAUGUUAAUUAUGUUUAUUCUUUAUAGGACCCAAUGAUCAGGAGGCAGAGAUUAUUACAACAACACAACAUAAGGAGCUAACAGAUUGGCAUCCCAUCCAGAUUGCUGGCAGCAUCCGUGUUUUUGGAAUUGAUAUCAAUAUUAAUAUCCCUGUUGGACUACUAAUCCGUGUCGCUGGUGGAUGCUUUGGCUUACUCAUAAUCGCAGUCGUGGCGUUAUACAUUCGAUACUGCAACAAGCAUGUAAGAGAUUUAAGAGAAGCCGAGGAAGAGCUGCGCUGCCUCCAAGUUGUUGUACAAGGUGGCAAAAUACAGAGGCCACAAGAUGACACAAAGGAAAAGGAUGAUACUCCUACUAAAGAAAUGGAAAAUCAGGGGAAGGAAGUAUCUGUGCCUACCAUUAAAGCUGAACCCCCGAAUUAGAUUUGUGCUGAUACAGAGAAAGAGAUAACAUAAAGUGUCAAGGAAAUCAUAAAACCAGAAUUGGUAGAGGAAAUAAAUGAACAUGAGGAAACAGAAGAAAUGAGAACUGAUAAUAAGAACCAAGAAGCUCAGAAAGCAAAUAAGACCAAACAAACACAAGGGAAGAAGAAGAGAAGAAACAGGAAACCCAAAAACUAAAGAGAAAAAGAAUCAUAUGGACCUGGGGGAAUAAAAGCCAAACGUUGAAAGAGCCGCCAUUCACAAUACAGAAUGGAAUCACAGCAGCCCUUUGCUGAGCAACUUCCAGACUAUUUCUAACCCUAUGGAUUAUGGACACAUGAUGUUUGGCUGCUGUGUUGCUCUUACUGAAUUAAAGGCAGCGAGUCACAAUUAUAUCGCUAUAGAAUUACCACCAAGUGGUGAAAAAGUCUUCUCCAAGCAACGUCAGCUUGAAGCAACGUCAGUGUCUAUCUUUGCUAUUACGUGCCAAGAGGAUUUAUGUUCCACAGUCCCCCCAGAUAGAGCUCAGCGGAUAUCAGAGACUAAAGUGGCUCGCUCUACACCCCUAACCACA